rnacentral:rRNA from 1 species
GAUGAACGCUGGCGGCGUGCCUAAUACAUGCAAGUCGAGCGAACUGAUUAGAAGCUUGCUUCUAUGACGUUAGCGGCGGACGGGUGAGUAACACGUGGGCAACCUGCCUGUAAGACUGGGAUAACUUCGGGAAACCGAAGCUAAUACCGGAUAGGAUCUUCUCCUUCAUGGGAGAUGAUUGAAAGAUGGUUUCGGCUAUCACUUGCAGGUGGGCCAGCGGUGCAUUAGCUAGUUGGUGAGGUAACGGCUCACCAAGGCAACGAUGCAUAGCCGACCUGAGAGGGUGAUCGGCCACACUGGGACUGAGACACGGCCCAGACUCCUACGGGAGGCAGCAGUAGGGAAUCUUCCGCAAUGGACGAAAGUCUGACGGAGCAACGCCGCGUGAGUGAUGAAGGCUUUCGGGUCGUAAAACUCUGUUGUUAGGGAAGAACAAGUACAAGAGUAACUGCUCGUACCUUGACGGUACCUAACCAGAAAGCCACGGCUAACUACGUGCCAGCCGCCGCGGUAAAAC